rnacentral:rRNA from 1 species
GAUGAACGCUAGCUACAGGCUUAACACAUGCAAGUCGAGGGACCGGCGCUCGGGUGAGUAACACGUAUCCAACCUGCCCUUUACCCGGGGAUAGCCUUUAGAAAGAAAGAUUAAUACUCGAUCUAAUGGAUGGGGAUGCGUUCCUUUAGGUUGUUGGUGAGGUACCGGCUCACCAAGCCUUCGAUGGAUAGGGGUUCGGGGAGGAAGGUCCCCCACAUUGGAGCUAAGGCACAGACCAAACUCGUACGGGAGGCAGCGGUAAUGGAUACUGGUCAAGUGACGCUAGCCUGAACCAGCCAAGUAGCGUGAAAGAUGAAGGCUUAUGGGUCGUCAACUUCUUUUAUAUAAGAAUAUGUAUUAUAUGAAUAAGGAACGGCUAACUCCGUGCCAGCAGCCGCGGUAAUAC